GGAACUUUCAUUAUUUGGGAUUGCUGCUAUUUGGGAUUCUGACUGUUUGGGAUAAUCUCCAUUUCUUUACCCCUUUAGGUGGGCAGGAAUCAUUUAAAAGCAGAUGGCAAAGACGGCCUCCUGGCUCCUGGUUAGUUGGUGGUUAGCAACUGUCAGGGUCCUGACUCAGCAGAGUAUAGGAAGGAACUGCAUAGUCACUUAGCAGUGGACCAACUAGAAAACUGCCUUUAUUCAUAACAAUAACGUUUGAAAAAGAAACCAGUAUCUCUAUCUGAACAGGCACAAGCCCAAUACAGAUCUUGGAUCUGGCACAUCAGUAGAUGUUUAUCUCUCAGACCCUCAAAUAAUAAAACAGAGCUCAGGGUCUCAGGGUAAAACAAUCAGCUUCCUGGACUCACAUAGGAAAAAGCUAAUAUGGUGGUAAUAAGCCACUUAAAUAGCUGUCUGCCUAUGUUACAAUAACAUGCUCUUUGCGUUCCUUCCAACAGCUCCCAAAGGCCAUGUGCUGUGGACAGUCACACUUUGUGGGUACCUCUAUCCCACUCCAUACACCUACCCAAAGAAAGCAGAUCAUUUUUAAUCUCUCCCAAACUUUAAAACAAUGUAUUGAAUUUUUCCCUUUCCUUUGCUUUUUCUUUUCUUCUUCUUUUUUUCUUUCUCUUCUGCUUUUAGUCUAUUGGAUUUUUUUUCUUAUUAUCCUUUUUAGUGUUGGGGUAUUUUUUUUCUUUGUUAUUGUUGUUGAUGAUGAUUCUUUUGCCUUUCCUUCCUCUCAUUUCUCCAUGUUUUCUUUUGUUGUUGUUUUUGUGUUUUUAGGACAGCUCCCUUUUCUGUUUUCAGGGAUUUGUUUUAAAUUUUUGUGAUUUGGGAUUUGGCAGUUUGGGAUUCUCUUUUUGCUUUGUUGUUUUGUGUGUUGUGUGAGUUUUGUGUUUGUUUUGUUUCUUUUUUGUUUGGCGCUUUUAUUUUAUAUUUUCCAUUUUUGAAAUUCUUCCUCUUGUUUGCUUGUUUUUUUUUUUCUUUUCUGUAUUUUUUAUUAUCCAUGCUUUCUUUCUUUAUUUGGGUUUUAAUUGUUUUUCUUGUUUUUUAGGGUUUUUGUUCGGAGUUUUCAGAUUUUUUUUAGAAUUUAAGACUUUAAGAUUCCUGAGCCAAGAUGGCCGAAGACGAACAGCUCUGGUCUACAGCUCACAGCGUGAGCGACACAGAAGACAGGUGAUUUCUGCAUUUCCAUCUGAGGUACCAGGUUCAUCUCACUAGGGAGUGCCAGACAGUGGGCAAGGGACAGUGGGUGCAGUGCACCAUGCGUGAGCCGAAGCAGGAUGAAGCAUUGCCUCACUUGGGAAGUGCAAGAGGUCAGGGAGUUCCCUUUCCUAGUCCAAGAAAUGGGUGGCAGACGGCACCUGGAAAAUCGGGUCACUCCCACCAUAAUACUGUGCUUUUCGGACGGGCUGUAAAAACGGUGCACCAGGAGAUUAUAUCCCACACCUUCCUUGGAGGGUCCUAUGCCCACGGAGUCUCCCUGAUUGCUAGCACAGCAGUCUGAGGUCAAACAGCAAGGUGGCAGCCAGGCUAGGGGAGGGGCGCCCACCAUUGCCCAGGCUUGCUUAAGUAAACAAUGCAGCUGGGAAGCUCAAACUGGGUGGAGCCCACCACAGCUCAAGGAGGCCUGCCUGCCUC
rnacentral:lncRNA from 1 species